UCGCUCUUCAACGAGGAAUCCCUAGUAAGCACAAGUCAUCAGCUUGUGCUGAUUACGUCCCUGCCCUUUGUACACACCGCCCGUCGCUACUACCGAUUGAAUGGCUUAGUGAGGCCCUCGGAUCGUUAGCAAAAAACUGUAAAAGGUUUCUUGUCGAUGAGAAGUUGGUCAAACUUGGUCAUUUAGAGGAAGUAAAAGUCGUAACAAGGUUUCCGUAGGUGAACCUGCGGAAGGAUCAUUACAAAUUAUGGCAAACCUCGCGAAAGCGAAGGUGCGUCCAUUUUCGUAUUUAAAACACCCACUCGUGUAAAAAAAAUAUUUUAUAAAAUAAAAAUUAGAAAAGAUCACUUUCAACAACGGAUCUCUUGGCUCUCGCAUCGAUGAAGAACGUAGCGAAGUGCGAUAAGUAGUGUGAAUUGCAGAAUUUCGUGAAUCAUCGAAUCUUUGAACGCAAAUUGCACUCUCCGGUUUUCCGGGAGAGUAUGCCUGUUUGAGGGUCAGCCUAAAUAAAAUCGGCUUCGUUGCUGUGUUUUUUCGCAGUAAAAGUCGGAAUUUGGGUCAUCUUAAACCGAAAGGUUUUUAAGCGACUUAAAAAUAAUUUUUUUACGAUCUUACGAACGUUUCUAAGAUUUUCUUACACGUUCAAGGUAUCGUGCUUUAUUAGACGUGACUGUCGUAUCAGAUCGCGUCCAUAUAAUAAUUUCAUUAACUGACCUCAGACAGGUAAGAGUACCCGCUGAACUUAAGCAUAUCAAUAAGCGGAGGAAAAGAAAAUAACAAUGAUUCCCUUAGUAACGGCGAGUGAAGGGGGAGAAGCUCAAAUUUUAAAUCGGUGCAGGUUCUACCUGGUCGAGUUGUAAUUUGAAGAAGCGUUUUCCGCGUCCGGGUUGACCCAAAUCCUUUGGGAUAAGGUAUCAUGGAGGGUGAGAAUCCCGUCCGGGUUGACCUCAGGACGUUUUACGAUACGCUUUCAAAGAGUCGAGUUGUUUGGGAUUGCAGCUCAAAAUGGGAGGUAAAUUUCUCCUAAGGCUAAAUACCGGCGAGAGACCGAUAGCGAACAAGUACCGUGAGGGAAAGAUGAAAAGGAUUUUGAAAAGAAAGUUAAACAGUACGUGAAAUUGUUGAAAGGGAAACGAUUGAAGCCAGUCGUACCGACGGGAAAUCAGCUUCUCGAGCGCCUAUCGUGGGUGACGUUGAGCCUCACGGCCAUCUUCGCUUGUGUUUUGUUGGUGCUUUUGUGGUGUACUUUUCCGUAUGGUAGGUCAGCAUCGAUUUUGAUCGUCAUAAAAUGAUCGGGGGAAUGCGGCUUCGGUCUCGUAUCGGAGUGUUAUAGACCUUGGUAGAUGUGACGAUUGGGAUCGAGGAUUGCAACGAACCUUUUUUGGGCUAUCCGUCUGACCUCUGAAAGUCGCUCGGGUGUCGAAAGCUUGCUUAUGACUAUUCGAGUUGGCGGUCAACAGGUUAGAACGUGAUUAUAUUCGUUAAGGAUGUUGACGUAAUGGCUUUAAACGACCCGUCUUGAAACACGGACCAAGGAGUCUAACAUAUAUGCGAGUGUUAAAU
rnacentral:rRNA from 1 species